UACGGAGGGUGCAAGCGUUAUCCGGAUUCACUGGGUUUAAAGGGUGCGUAGGUGGGCAGGUAAGUCAGUGGUGAAAUCUCUGGGCUUAACCCGGAAACUGCCAUUGAUACUAUCUGUCUUGAAUACCGUGGAGGUUAGCGGAAUAUGUCAUGUAGCGGUGAAAUGCUUAGAUAUGACAUAGAACACCAAUUGCGAAGGCAGCUGGCUACACGAAUAUUGACACUGAUGCACGAAAGCGUGGGGAGCGAACAGG
rnacentral:rRNA from 1 species